ACAGUGAGUAGAAGCGGUCAGUGCAGACAGCUGCAUGGGACAUUGCUCAGCAA
rfam:Serratia sp. M24T3 contig026, whole genome shotgun sequence.